rnacentral:rRNA from 1 species
GAUGAACGCUGGCGGCGUGCCUAAUACAUGCAAGUCGAGCGAACAGACGAGGAGCUUGCUCCUCUGACGUUAGCGGCGGACGGGUGAGUAACACGUGGAUAACCUACCUAUAAGACUGGGAUAACUUCGGGAAACCGGAGCUAAUACCGGAUAAUAUAUUGAACCGCAUGGUUCAAUAGUGAAAGGCGGUUUUGCUGUCACUUAUAGAUGGAUCCGCGCCGCAUUAGCUAGUUGGUAAGGCAACGGCUUACCAAGGCAACGAUGCGUAGCCGACCUGAGAGGGUGAUCGGCCACACUGGAACUGAGACACGGUCCAGACUCCUACGGGAGGCAGCAGUAGGGAAUCUUCCGCAAUGGGCGAAAGCCUGACGGAGCAACGCCGCGUGAGUGAUGAAGGUCUUCGGAUCGUAAAACUCUGUUAUUAGGGAAGAACAAAUGUGUAAGUAACUAUGCACGUCUUGACGGUACCUAAUCAGAAAGCCACGGCUAACUACGUG